rnacentral:lncRNA from 1 species
ACGUAGUACAUAAAAGUUUUAAAAUUAGAGGAAGAGAGACAUAAUUACUAGAGCUAUCGGUAGUACGGAGACCUUCAUACUACCAAAUUGUUUUUAAUGAUGCCGGUUUUCAAAUUGACGAUCGGCUCCGUUAAACUUAAUUUAUACUAUAGAAAGUAUUAGGAAAAUAAAUUUUAUAAUUUUUCGACAUUAUUUGGCUAGCGAUCAACAGAUCUCAAAAUUGAUGAUUUUAAUGAUCGGUGUGAUGUGUUUGCGAAUUUGACGGUGUAAAACAAUUCAAAUCUAAUAAAAUUUUUAUAGAAUUUUUUUUUUCACUAUUUAAAGUUAGAUCAUUAUUUUUUAUUUUAAAUUCAAGUCUUUUAUCAUCAUUUUUUAUGAGAAUUUUAUUUUUAGUCGUUCAUUUUUAAAUUACUCGUCUGAUAAAAAAUUAUAAAAUUUAUUUUUCAAAUACUUUCAAUAGUGUAGAUCAAGUCUAACGGAGCCGAUCGUCGAUUUGAAAGCUGUAUUAUUAAAAAUAAUUUGAUAACACGAAGGCCUCCAUACUAUCAAUAGUACAACAGCCGGACUCUAAUUAUUAUAUAAGUUUUGUAUUUUGUGUGCAAAAUAGUAACUUCCAAGCUCAUAGAAAUGCAGUCACAUACUUUGAUUAAAUUAUUAGCUCAUAGAAAUGCAGUCACAUACUUUGAUUAAAUGCAGUCACAUACUGUGGCAAUAAAUUAGUAGCUCCAUUUUUCAUACUUUGAUUAAAUUGAUCAGCAGUCACAUAGAAAUGCAGACUCAUAAGUAGCGCUUAGGCUGAAUUUUGAGGUGGUUAUGCCAAUAUCACUCAUCUAUUGAGCCACAUAUAAAACAUGCCAAAACAUGCCAUGCUUACUGAAACCGGAGAACUAAGUUAUAGGGGCCCUUUCUUGAACUAUAGAACCAUAAAAAUUGGCUUCUAAGUUCUAACUUAAAAACUUUAGGGACUAAAGUAUCAUCUAUUCCAAAGAAAAUUACAUCUAAAUUAGGAUUCAAGUUAAUCGAACUUACUCUUUAAUGAUCAAUUUGAUCCCCGGAAACUCCUUCACAAAGUAGUCCACACACUCUUGCAUUGCAGGGUAACCUGCAGCACAAAGGAACCUACCAGCAAUAGAAGGCCUCUCCAUGCAGAAAAUGUGGGCCUCACAGACAUCAUCAAUGUGAAUCAACGGAACCGAGCCUAGCAAUGCCUGCAGGAACAUCAGUUGCCUGUGGCAAAUCUCCUCGCCCGUCAGCGGCGCGACGAUGACGCGUACGCUCAACGGCGUAUACGGAAGGAUCGUGUCGCCGCCGCCGACGAGGCCGCAUGCUAGGCUCACCACCUCCAGUUUCGACCCUUUUGAUCGUCUGUCGUCGUUGUAGCUUAGCACGGCCUUUUCCGAAAGGGUUUUCGAAGAUACGUAGGCCUGAAAAUUUUCACUUCUUACAUUGUACCCUUUCAUUUUUUUUCAAAAGCACCAUUCAACUAUUCAUUUUUUUCAAUACUUAUAUUAGAAAUAAUAUCUAUUUUGCCAACACAUCUUCAUGGCUUGCCCGUAUUGGACACAAGUCCGACUCAGAUACGCACGCGUGUUCAACACAGACAUGUGAGAUUUAUAGAAGUGUUUAUGAUAGAGCUCAACUACUAACUACUAAAAAAUAAUUUAGGAAAAAUACCUUCUCGUGAUCCUCGGAGUGAGCGUACGAGACAUCGAGCGGAGUCCAGCAUGACUCGUCGAUGAAGUUGUUGAAUCCGGUGCCAUCUUCUUUCAAGGGGGAAGCGGCCGUGACUGAGCCCGUGUAGAUGACCCGCUUCACCGAACCCGAUUCGUCGCACAACCGUAGGAUUGUGUGGAUCGCAUCAACCGCAGCUUCUGUGGUGUCUUUAUACUGUAUAAGUCAAUUUAAUUAAAUAAUUUUUACGAAUUUAUUAUAUUAAUGCUAUGCUUAAUUAAUUACAAACCCUAAAUAUAAGGAAUUUUACUUUGGCAGUAAGGAAAAUGCUAGGCUUAGCUAUUAUUGGUGGCAUUUUUGGAUUGGAUUGUGUUUUUGGUUUUUAUGCCUCUCUUUACUUGAAAAUUAUGUCUAAAUGCUUAUAUAUAACAUUAAUAUUUAGCAAAAUAAUUUUUUUUUAUAAUAAUUGUGUUAGUAAAUAGGUUUUCUUGUUAAAUAUGUUGUAUUGUGUAAAUUCUUUUUCUUUUUCACACUAUUUUUGCGUCACAUUUGGGUCAAAUAUAUUAUACAUUGGCCGUAUCCGAAAUUGCUAACCCAAAUGCUAUUUAUCAGAUAUAUGUAAAAAAGUUGAGACCACAAAAAGAGGGAAAAAUCAUCUUACUAAUCAAGUGUACUAUUGAUUAGGAGAUAUAUAUAUUGAAUGAGAUGACUUAUCAAUUUACCUUUGGGAUUUUAAUCUCAUUUGGGAACUAUUUGGUAUAUGCGGAGCCCACGGGAAAGCGCAAUACUGCCAAUACAUUAAUUAAUUACCAACUAACCAUAUAUAUAUAUAUAGAAUUAGGUUACUAUACUAUCUACAGUACUGGAGCUCCGGUACUAUAGUUUUGUUUUCGAUCUUAGUAUAUUCAAAUUAACGAUCCAUACCGUUAAAUAUGAUCUAGGGUAUAUGAAAUUCUUAGGAAUAAAAUUUUAAUAUUUUUAGAUAUCGUUUACUUAGUAAAUAAAUUAUGUCAAAAUAGACGGUGGAAAUUGAAUAAUUUUUAAAAUUUGAGCAUAGGACUUUUAAAUUCAAGAUCAAGAAUGUUAACCUUAAUCUAGAUAGUUUAAAAUAUUUUCUAUCAAAAUUUGAAGAAAUUUAGAUUCUUCUACACCGUUAAACUCCAAACUCGCUAUAGUAGCCAUUGAAAAUUGACAAUUUUGAAAUGGUUUGAUCAUAAAGUAAACUAUGUCGAAAAAAUAUAAAAUUUUAUUUCUAAAAAUUUUAAAUACCCUAGAUCAGUUUUAACGGUAUAGAUCGUUGAUUUGAACACCCUCAGAUCGAAAACAAGACUAUAGUUCCGGAGCCCCGGUACUAUAGAUGGUAUAGGAGACUAGCUCUAUAUAUAUAUAUAUAUAUAUAGAGAGAGAGAGAGAGAGAGAGAGAGAGAGAGAGAGAGAGAGAGAGAGAGAGAGAGCUACUAUGCUAUGGAAAGUAUAGAGGAUCUGGUGCUUUCAAUUUUUUGGCCCUUAAAUCAACCCCUUUAAUCAUUUCUAACAUUUGGAUUAAUACUAUUACCCUGUGAGGACCACUCAACCCUAGGGUACUACUCAACUCUGGGGGGACCGUAAUCAUCUGAAUCAUAUAAUUUUUUAUCCAAUGGUAAAAAAGUUGGAAGCAUUAGAUUCUCUAUGCUUCCGAUAGCAUAGUAGCUCUACACACACAUAUAUAUAUAUAUCCAAGCUCUUGGUGCUACCGAAUUUUCUACCGUUAGAUUUAUUUUUUUGAUCAUUUCCAUCCGUUAGAUCAUACUAUUCAACAAACCACCAAUUCAAUCCUAGAAGACCACCAUCAUUCUAACCACACAUUAACCACACAUUAUUUCAUCCAAGAGCCGAAAAUCUAAUAGCACCAAUGACUUGGUGCUAUUAAUAAUAUUCCAGCCAAAUUCUAUAUAGUCAUUAACGCUACUAAUAGUAUGAUCCAUAUAGAAUUUGGCUGGAAUACUAUUAAUAGCACCAAGUCAUUAGUGCUAUUAGAUUUUCGGCCCUUGAAUGAAAUGACGUGCGAUUAACAUAAUAGUGGUCCCUUUAGGGUUGAGUGGUGGUUGGUUGAAUAGUAUGAUCUAACGGAUGGAAAUGAUCAAAAAGAUAGAUCUAACGACAGAAAACUUGGUAGCACCAAGAGCUUGAUACUAUCGGCUAUCCGCCCACUCAACUCUAGAGGACCAUUAUCAUUCUAAUUGCAUAUCGUUGAGUGGUGGUUGGUUGAAUAGUAUACAUUUUAUUAUUUUUAUGUCAAAAUGAGUUCAAUAUACGUUUUGCUACUUUUAACUAUACAAAUAAAAUCAUGGGAAAACUUCAAAAACCCUCCUGUGGUUUCGCACUUUCUCACUUCAGUACCCUGUGGUUUAAAGUGUAUCAAUUUGCCCUCCUGUGGUUUCGUUUUUCUCUUUUUAGUAUCAAUUUUAUUAUUAUUUUUUCUUAAAUCAGUGACAAAGUUAAAAUUAAAGGGUACUAAAGUAAUAUUCGAUAAAUCUAGAUGGGUAUCUGAAGUUUUUUGUACAUAAUUUAACGAAUAUAUUAAGGAAAAAGAUGUCGAAAAGAUAAAAAUAAAACCACAGGAGGGCAAAUUGAUACACUUUAAACCAAAGAGUACUAAAGUGAGAAAGUGCGAAACCACGGGAGGUUUUUGAAGUUUUUCCUAAAAUCAUAGUACAAAAAGUAGAUUUAUUAUUAAUAAUUUUUAUAAUAAUACAAAAAGUGGAGUACAAAUUUCUAGUAUUUUUUAAAAUAAUUUUUAUAUAAAAUUUAUAGAUUUAUUAUUUAUAGUGUAGGGAUUAAAAAAGCCUGUUUAGUGGUGCCUUUAAAAAAUAAAAAAUAGUACAGUACAAAAAGUGGAAAAAAUUCGUAAAGCAAGAUAUAGUAAACAGCGAUUAACCCUAUUUCAGUUUUGUACUACACAAAUAUUUAUGUGCCAUUUGAAGUGGCCCUAAAUAAUAAAGCCCAACAAGUACAAGCAUUGGGCUUGGGCCUGGGUCGGGCCUUAAUUUUCUUAAAGAAUGGGUCAAAGCCCGACCCAAAUCCAUCAUACUUCAAUUUCCCUCAUGCGUCCAGGGAAUCAAUCUUCUAUACUUGGCUGCGUUUGGUUCGGGUAUAAGUAAGAAUUGCUAGUUCCAGGGAUAGGUACAAGUUUAGGUAUAAGCAGGAACUAGACCAAUUUUGCGUUUGAAUAAAAGUUGGGUUGUUCCUAGGUAUAAGAUAAAUAGUGUUUGGAUGAUUAGAUUGGAACAAGAGGAAUAAGAGUUAUAAUUUGAAAUUAAAUUUGUAUUAUGUAAUUAAUUAACAUCAAAAUAUUACUUAAAAAUAAAUAAUAAUUUAAUUAUUAAUAUUUAAUUAUAAAUAAUAAAUUAAUAAUAUUGAAUACCUAAUUAAUUAUAAUAAUAAUUGAUAAUUAUUAAUAAAAAAUAAUUAUUAAUUAUUAUUAUUAUUAAUUAAUUAUUAAUAAUAAAUUAAUAAUAAUAUCGAUUAUCUAAUUUUUAUUAAUAAUAACAUUGAUUAUCUAAUUAUUAUAAUUAUUAUUAAUAUUUAUUAAUAAUAAAUUAGGAGUAAUAAAUUAAUAUAAUUAUUAUCUAGUUAUUAAUAAUUAAUUAUAAAUAAUAAAUUAAUAAUAAUAUCGAUUAUCUAAAUUAUUAAGGAUAAUAAUUAUUAAUAAUUAUUAAUAAAUAAUAAUAAUUAUUAUUAAUUAUCAUUAAUUAAUUAUAAAUAAUAAAUUAAUAAUAAUAGCGAUUGUCUAAUUAAUAAUUAUUAAUAACUAAUUAUAAAUAAUAAAUUAUUAAUACAAUCGAUUAUCUAAUUAUUAAGGAUAGUAAUUAUUAAUAAAUAAUGAUAAAUAUAAUUAUUAAUUAUUAAUAAUUAAUUAUCACUAAUAAAUUAAUUAUUAUAAUUAUCUAAUUAUUAUUAAUUAAUUACAAAUAAUAAGUUAAUUAAUUACUUAAUUAUUAAAGUAAUAAAUAAUAAUUUAAAUAUAUUAAUUAGAUUAAUUAAUAAUUUACUAUCAUGAAAAUUAAAUUUAGAUUUUAAUUAAUCUUGUUCUCAUCAAGGAACAAGCUUGUUCCAGUAAAAAGGUGGAACAGUAAUUUCAGCCUUAUACCGGCUUGUUCUUAAAAUCCUAGAAACACUGUUCCCGGGCAACAAAUAUUGCGUUUGGGAACAAAGAGGGAACAAGGGCUUAUUCCCCCCCCCUUGUUCCCCAACCAAACACUACCCUAUAGAAUAACUUGCGGAAUACAAAACAGAGGGACAUAUGUUUCUAACCCAAGAUCUACAACUUCCAUCUGAAUAAACUUAUAAAUUGAGUAAUUAGAAUUUAAAGUAUGCGAUGUAAUGAAUGAUUGAAUGAAAGUUAUACCAGUACGUACAAAGAUGCACGAAUAGCGAGAAAUAAGAGAGUAAUUGAAAGUCACAUUAACGAGUGCAAGGAUGGAUGAAAAGUGAGAAAAGAGAGAGAGAGAGAUCUAAAGGAGUGUUUGGUUUCUCGAAAGACACUCUCUUUUACUGAAAAACACUCUCUUUUACUGGUUUUUUUUUAUAAUAAAAAAUUUGAAAGUAAAAAUGCUAGUUUUUUUUGUAGAAUAUGAGGGAAAAAAAUUAAAAAAAAUUGCCUUUUCCAUCAACUAAAAGAAUGGAAGUUACUUUUUUUUAGCCAAAAAAAUAUUUUUUAAAAUAUUUUUGAAAAAAUAAACACCCCCUAAGUGUCUAAAAGUGGCACCAAGGAGGCAAGGAUGCAACCUCUCUGUAGGAGCUUCUUAACAAGCCAAGAUCCCAGCUUGGAUCAACAGAGUGGUUUAAAACUAAUUCUGUUACUAUGCCCUUCAAAACAUUGAUAUCUUACAAAAAAAGAAAAAAAAAAAAAACUUCAGCAUAAUCUAAACUGUUUUUUAGCAUGAACCGAUCGCCCCUAAUAUAAGUGGCAAAAAGUUUGGUGAUUGAUAUCCGAAGUCACAAAUUUGAAUUCUAGUUGAUUCACAUUUUCAACUAAGUUUAUUUCUAAAAAAUAAACGAAACAGAUAGAAUGCUUCCUUUUUCUCUCAAAAAAUCCAUCCCCAGACACUGAAAUGGCAAUUAUUUUGAUUUUCAUUUCAAGCCGAAAACUUUUCCGACUACAUAACACAACAUAAUUAGUACUUAUUCAAACAAAGAUUAAGUUUAGGAGAUCCACCACCAACCUGAGAGCUGCAGGGGCUGUGCUGGAGUGGAGUGGCCACAAGGAAAACAAAAUCACAACCUUUGAUUGCUGGUUCAAAAGAUUUGGAGUCAUAUAUGUCAGCCUCAAACAGAGAGAGCCUUCCUUCUGAUUCUGGAAUGUUCUUCAAUAGCCCACACUUGGACUUAUCUCCUGCAGCAAUAAUUUAGAUCAUAUUCAUGAUCAUCAAAUGUAAUGUGUAAUAACUUUUGGACUAAAGGGUAAAAUACUCUCAACUAUUAGUUCAUUAGAAGUAAUUAUAAUGGUAAAAAAAAAAUGAAAAUUAAGUGUAGAGGGAGAGAGAGAGAGAGGACCCAAGUUUCUGAUUGUGGCAUGAACCUGGUAGCCUUUUUCCAACAGCUUCUUCACAAGCCACGAUCCAAUAUACCCAGAAGCUCCAGUUACACAUACUUUGCUAAUUCUCUCCUCCAUAUCUCUCUCUCUCUCUCUCUCUCUCUCUCUCUCUCUCUGUUUAUGUGUUUUUGUGAUUGUAUAGAAAAAUAGAGAAAGGAUGAGUAGUGCACGGCCAGCAAUGUUGCUAUAAAAGAUCGUACGUACUAGGAAAUGCCAAUGGCUAGGGAUACCCAAGACUCAACUGUUUGGUUCGGGAUCAAGGGAUGGAAUAAUCUCUUAAUCCCAAAGUUAUUUCCAAAUAUCUAAUUUGGGGGUGGAAUCUCACCCUACCCCAACCAAAUACUAUUUUCUAUUUAUAAUAAUCCACUAUCAUUCUUAUCCCAUCUUCUCCAACCAAAUACUAUUUUAUCUAUAUCUGGACUAAAUCCAAUUCUCAACUAAACACAAAAUUAUUCUAACCCCACCUUAACCCUGAACUUAACCCUAUUCAUGUAAUAAUAAGUUUUUACUUAAUUCCGAACCAAAUGGUAUAUAAACAGAGCAGGUUUAACUGGUACUAAACGGAUAUGAUUUCGGUUAUAAACAUAAGGAACAAAAAUUCGAUAAAUUCGAGUUCGAUUAUGGCAUUUGUCUGUAAUCAAUCCGAACCUGAAUUUGAAACUAAACACGUAUAAAACCUAUUAUAUAUAUAAUAAACUUUCUUAGACAUUUACUUUAAUAAUUAAUAUAUAUUAAUGGUUUAGUUUUAUAUUUAGUUUAUUAAAUAGUCGAGUUUGAUUUUUAAAUUGCAAGCACGAGUUUUAGUUUCUUUUUAAUUUUGUCGGAUUUGAAUUUUUAUAUCCGGUCGAGUUCGGGUACAGUUUUGGAUGUCAGUUCUUUAUUCAGGUUUUACUAAAAUUAUUCAAAAACCAACCUGCCCGUAUCCCUAAUAGGAAAUCACCCCAUCAGAUUAACAUUAAAAAGAGAGAGAGAGAAACUAUACCCGAGCCAAACGGGGUGUAAGAGUAAAAUGUAUAUACAAUUUAACGUGUCAUGUACUUUUAUUAGUUUCUAAGCAUUGAAAAUAUAUUAAUUUUUUAUGAAAGGCCUCAUCAUAAUUUUUUUUCACAAAAUUUAUAAUUACAAAACUAGUCCUAUCCCCACCACACAAGCGCCACGUCAGCAGCCGGAUGACAUAAGUUGAACACAAUGAAUCAUUUGCCAAGUUUAGACACGAUAAAUGAUUCACCAUAUUUAAGUUAAAAUAUAUUGCAAUACUAUUUGAGUUCUUUUGCAUUAUGGGGUUGGCUACUGUUCAGCUCAUCCAAACACGGUAAAUAAAUAAUUCACCGUACUUAAAUAUCGUGAAUCAUUUACCGUGUUCAACUUAACUCUCCACAGUCGCUGACAUGACGUUUAUAUGAUGCUUGCGUGACGGGAAUAGAGUCAAUUUUAUAAUUAUAAAUUUUGUGAGACUAGUUGUGAAAAAAAAAAUUAAGAGAUAACCAAAUACGAAAAAAAAGUCCAUUUAUGAAAUGAUGCUAAUUAAUAUACAUUUGUAUAUCUCUUGUGAAAUGUUAACAGGAUUAAAUAAGUUAGACUUUCGGAAUAAAGUGUAGAAUAUUAUAUCUAAUUUCGAAACCUAGAUUAUAAAAAAUAAAAUUAUAAUUACUAAUUUAUAAUUUUGGGAUACUACGAGGACUAUCGAUGUACAUUAGUUGGACACGGUCGGAUUAAGUAGGUGGGUCAAGAGCUCGACCUUGUUUUGUACAAUAAAAACAAGAGCCAAAGAUUUAAAAAUGGAACGUGCGUGUAUUUGGUCACAAAAAUUAAGUUGGCCUCAUCCGGAACAGGUCGUAUAUAUUAAGUAAUCGUGAUUAAUUUAAAAAUUGGCCUCGUUUUGCGCACUGAAACAAAAGGCAAAUCGUGGAACUCGAGGGAGUAUUCAACAUAUUUUGAAAUUUGAAUUAGCAACAAUAAAACAAAACUAAAGUUUGGUAAAGUGAUGGCUAAAAAUGUUAUAUUUAUGCUACAGAAAGCUGUUUAAUAUAUACGACNAAAGUGAUGGCUAAAAAUAUUAUAUUUAUGCUACAGAAAAUUGUUUAUAUAUAUAUAUAUAUAUAUAUAUAUAUAUCAUAAAAUUGUCGUUGGAACCACAGCUGAAAAAGGAUAUAGCCAUAUUCUUUUCUGUUGGUAGUUACAACUGCAAGUUUGAAAUGUUGUAGGAAGGAAAGAUUUAAAAGCAUUUUCAACUUUUUUGAGCUUUUAAUAAUAUUAUCAAAUUAGGUCUAAAGUUAUCCUGGGUUGCUGCUCCACCACGUAAUUCCUAUAAAUUUUUUUUGCAAAGUGUUAUCAGUUUAAGACCCUUUUGAAUUAUAUAAGAAGUAUAUAGUGUUUGGUAGAUAAUAAGUAUAAUAAAAUGUCCAUAAUAGAUAACAAAUUUGGCCCUCAAGGUAUUUUCUUCAUAUUAAAUUAUAUCACCUUAUACAUGAAAUUUACUAUCCUAUUAAUUAAAUUAUGAAUGCACAAGAAAAUUUGUAUAUAACAUUAGCUAUUAUGGAAUGUUUGAUUUUGACUCAAACAGGACCUAAAUAAAUAAUUAUCUCAUAUUGUAUCAAAGCAGAAGGCUGUAGUUCCUUCGUAACUUUUCGAGAUAAAUAACAGAUUUCCAAAGUUUGCAGGAAAAUAUGCGAAAUGCAAAAAAACUAAAACCAAAUAUUAUGGAAUGUUUGAAAGGUGCAGAUGAUGAAAGUUGCCGACCCAAUGCAUUAGUUAUGGACUUUUUUUGCAAAUAGCCCCCUGACAAAUUUUAUUUGCAAAAAUAGUCCCGUCCAAAAAUUAUUUGCAAAAAUGGCCCUGUCCCUGCCACGUCAGCGCCACGCGGGCAGGGCGGACCCAGGUGUUUAAGUUGAACACGGUGAACCAUUCACCGUAUUCAAUAUAAAAUUUUUGUAUUGAACACGGUGAAUGUCCAAUACAAAUACCCCAACAAUGAUUAAGUUGGAGGUAUUUGUAUUAGACACGGUGAAUCAUUCAUCGUGUCCAAUUAUUUGUAUUGGACACGGUGAAUGGUUCGCCGUGUCCAAUACAAAUAUUUCGAUCUUAGCUAUUUUGUAUUGGACACGGUGAAUCAUUCACCGUAUCCAAUACAAAAACUUUGUAUUGAACACGGUGAAUGGUUCACCGUGUUCAACUUAACCAUCUGACUCAGCCCUGCCCGCGUGGCGCUGACGUGGCGCUUGCAUGGGAGGGCCAGGGCCAUUUUUGCAAAUAAAUUUUUGACAGGGCCAAUUUAAAAAAAAAAAUUUGUAAGGGGGCUAUUUGCAAAAAAAGCUCUUAGUUAUUUAUGGCCCUUUUUUACUUUUAGAAAAGACUAAUAAGAAUUUCAUUAUCAUGACCAUUAGGACUAAGAUCUUAAGAAGUGAUCAAUGAUUUUUGGGUCCACAGCUGUUUUUUUUCUCUCUUUUUUUUUCACUUUUUGGUUGAGAAUGCGGUUGAAAUGGCGAAGGUGGGAGGUUGAAGCCGGCGACCCCAUCCGACGUUUGGGUGACGAAGCUGGACGGAAAAGUGCGAUGCCCGUGAGAGAAGGUCGUACGCUCUGGGACGAUCAGAGCUCGCGACUUCAUCUCCUACUCAGCAGAUGUCGUACUCAGAAGUUCAUCCAAUCAAACACACCCUAAUGUCAUGGCUUUAUCAUUUUUGUUAGCAAAAGUCUAUACUGCACCCAUCUUUCUCCGCAAAAGUAAGCAAGUUUUUAUUUCUGUUGCUAGUCCGGAUCUUCGUGUUCUACGACCAAGUAUGCGAAGGGAUGAAAAGAGAGAUAGAGGUUAAUCCAAAAAAAUUAAGUACUCUUAAUUAUUUAGAAAAGAGAAUUACAUACACACACUAUUGUAUCUUUUGGCUUUAACCACACCUACGUUUAUAGGCCUAGAAAUAUAAUGACUUUAGCUAGCAUAAUUCAUCCACUAACUCUCUCAUUAACCCACAUAAUGAGCUCUUAUAACUUAUGGUAGUUUUUUUUGAGUGAUAAUGAUGCAUAAUGACAGCAGUUUUGCAACCCUUUACUCUCCCACAACAGUCUGAAUUCGGGUCUUUUUAACAAUUCGGCUCAAGCAGUUUUCAGCUUGCGGAGUUGGCCAGGAACCGGACUGCACAGAAUUUUUUAAAAUCCCUAACAGUAAGCUCCUUUACAAGUAGCGGUUGAGCCUAAUGUUUGAAAAACCGGAUCGAGCUUCAGUUUGACUACACUUGGGAUCGACCCACAUUUAUGGACCUGUGGCCCAUCAAUGGUCCUCUGGCCAGCAUGGACCGGGUGUAAAGGCCUCUGUUGUUGGGUCGGUUAUGGAGUGUGGUUUCAGAGGCGAACAAUGCUCUAAUUGCGUACUAAGCAAGUGGUUGUAAAUUUUACACUCUAUUCAUCGUUUAAUAGUUUCUUACUAAUCUUAUUAAUCCUUUUCUAAAAAAGAUUAUUAAAUAUCUAAAAAGUGUGUUUAAAUUUUUGAAUGGAUAAAUAUAAAAGUUACACCUUUUUUUUUUAUGUACAAACAAUAUUUCCAACAAAAAAAAAAGAUAAAAUGAAAAGAAAAGGUUUUGGUGCAUUAAAUUCUCCAUAAAUCUGAAAUUAAUUAUAACUCCACCAUCAACUACUACUAGUGAAAUACCCGCGCGAUGCUGCGGAUUUAAAAUUUAUUUUAAUAAAUUUUAGUUUUUUAUAUUUUUAAAUAAUUUUAUAAGUCUAAUUAUUAAUUAAAUAAAAGUUAUAUAAAAAUAAUUUAAUAGUUAAUUUUAUUUAAAUAAAAUUUAUUAAAACGACAACUUAUUUUAUAAAGAUUUAUGCGAAAAAAGAUUUGUGAUAAAUAUAUCAAAAUAAUUUUAAAAAAUAAAUAGAAAGGAGAAUAAUAUGAGUGGAAAAUUGUUUAAUAAAAUUAAUUAUAUAUAUACAGCAUACGCCACCUAUAUUCUAUAAAUCUUACUCCUCAAAUUUAAAUUAUGGUUAUUGUUUUUAUAUCAGACUCGCCGAGAAAUCAAAGUAUUAAUUGUUAUUAUCGCAUUAUCACGUGUAUUAUUAAUAAUAUUAAUUAAUUAUAGUUAUCAACUACAGAUUGAAUAUUCAUUAAUAAAAUAAAUUAAUUAAUUAAUUUUCAUAGAGUCUAGAGAUUAAAAUUUUAAAUUGUGAAGUUAAAUUUAAAAAAUAAAUAUUACUAAUAUUAAAUUAAAAUUUAACAUUUAAAAUUUUGAGUAUCAAAGAAUUUAAAUAAAUUUUGAUAAUAUACCAUAUUAUAUGAGUAAUAUAUAUAUAUAUAGUAGUAGGUACCCUAUAACGUAACAAAAUGAUAUAUCCCCGUAUGCUCAUUAUGUUUUACAUAACCUAUAUGUGGGAGAGAGAGAGAGUGGAGAGAGAGUAAAGGGGGUUUGGAUGCCGACAUGCCUGCGUGGUGCACCCCGAAACAGGUCCCCCCCAAAACCCUAACCUUUAAUGUAGACCGAAAUAUUGCGACUUCGUCUCGGAUUACCCACACUCCUAAACUCUCAACUAUAUUUUUAUACAUCGAUCAAUAUUAAUUUUAUUAGCGCAUUUUAUUAGCGUGUAUUGAUUAAUAAUAUUAAAGUUUAAUUAUAUUAUAUACAAUGACUUAUUAAUAAAACUUAAUAUAAUUAAUUAAUUUCAAUUAGAGUUGUUAGAGAUUCAAAAGAAUUUAAAUUUUAAAGGUUAAGAUUUGAAAAUAAAUUAUAAAGAUCUCAAGAUUAGAAAUUUAAUGAAUCUCAAAUAUUCUGAACCAGUACAGAAAUUUUAAAUUUCGCAUUAUAAUAUUAUAUAUAGAUAUAUAUGGUUAUAUCCAGAGAGAGAGGAUGGAGAGACGAGUUCAAACAGGUGACGCGUUGUUGGCUGCAGCGCUGGUCUCCACACCCUGUGUCCACUGCCAUAUGUCCUCCUCCCAACAGAGCCGAGGUCACCGCUAAUGUUGAGCAGACAAACGAUUGUCAUAUGUUAAAGUUAUCUCCAAUCGGUCAACAGAUGAGGCUAAAAAGUGUAAAGACGCUAUUUUCAUAUUAUUUGUAGAUUUCUUGUAAAUUCGUAUUCUAAUCCUACUAAAAUUUUAGCUGAAUCCGGCUUUUCUGGCAUCCCCACUUUCACCCGAAAAGGAUCCGAUAACAACCUAUGCACUACCAACAGAGAAAAAGAAAACAAAAUCUUUUGUGCAACAUCUUUUCAAAUUAAUUACUAGCAAUUAAAAACACUUGCCCAAAAGUUGGAUACUAGUGGUGGAAGUUACCUAAUAGAAUUGGCGAACUCACCGUGCAUUAUUGAUACAAGUUCGGCUGUUAUACUAUCAGUAGUACAAAACUCUGUACUAUUAAGUUGUUUUCGAUAAUAGAAUACUCGAAUCGACAAACUGCUUUCUUAGAUAUGAUUAAUACUAUUGAAAAUUGUUACAAACUAAUAUAUAUUUUCGAUAUUAUUUGACUAAUGAUCAAAAGAUUCUAAAAUAGAUAAUUUUAAUGACUGAUAUAAUCCAUUUGUAAGUUUAAACGGUGUAAAACAAUUUAAAUUCAGUGAAGUCUAAAUUUUUUUUACUAUUUACAGCAAGAUCAGUGCCUCUAAUUUAAAAUUUAAGCGUUUUAUAAUUAAUUUUUAUAAAUUUUUUUAGUUGUUUAUUUUGAAACUAUUCAUUUUAUAGAUAAAUAAUGUCGAAAAAUAAAAAAAAAGUUAGUUUCUAAGUACUUUCAAUAACGUAGAUAAUAUCUAAUGAAGCCAAUCGUUGAUUCAGAUAUCUCAUCAUUGAAAAUAAUUUGGUAACACGAAGGACUCCAUGCUGCUAAUAGUAUUAUUAUAACCUAAUUAUUAUUUUCAAUAGCUUGAUUUUAAAAUAGUUAACCAUUUUCAAAUAAUAGCAGAGUGAAAGUUAGGUUUUAAGUUCAAACUCCAUGCAAGGAAGACAAUGGAAUACAAAAUAUACAAAUGUUUAUGAUUUAAAUAGUGAAUUAUGCUUAAAUGUAUCACAAUAUUUAAUUGGAAACUUCUUUUAACAUGAUAAAAGAUACUUCUCAAAUCACUAGCAAAGGUGCAUCCACCUUUAGAACAAUCUUUAUAAAAUAAAAGAAAUAAUAUUAAUUUCUUUUUUUUCCCCAAUAUAAAUCCAACGAGUCCAUUUCAUUGUGCCCACACUUUAUCCUCUCUUUGAAAACUUUGCUAUCUACGCGGCCCCACCUCACCUCGUUUGUUGAAAAGUCACCGCAUAACCAAACACAAAUUGAAAACAAUACCAUAACAGUGACAAAGCACUAAUUAUUGUUAAUAAUAAUGAGAAUAUAAAGUUUCAAAGUAGAAACAGUUUGCUUCCACUACUUCUAGAAGAUAACUGUGGGUUUGGUUUGCGUCAUGUAACGUUAUAGUUAUUUUGACAUACCAGAUAUUUAAAAUUUUUAAAAUUUAAAAUUAAAAUUUAAAAUCUGAUAAUUUAAAAAUUUUAAAUUAAAAUUUUAAAAAUAACGUAUUAAAAGGAUUUGAGGGUUUAGAGAAAUAAACUUGUAAUUAUACAUAACAUGUAAAAUAAUUCGUCAUUAGUAAUACAAUAUAGCCACCAUGUUCGGUAAUAUUUUUUGAGUGAUCUUGUACCAUUUGUAAUACUAUAUUACUUACUAAAUUACAGACUGAAUGAAUCAAAUGUGAUAAUCUUGAUAGGAUUAUCACACCCUAAAAAAAUUAUUAUAUUUUAAAAAUUUUAGUUUCUACUUACUGAUAUAAACCUUGAUGUUUCGAAAACUUAAUAAUUUGAGUAGCAUUAUUAAUAAGUUGACUUUUUUUAUUGACGGAUAGAUACUAAAUUAUAUUUAAUUUAUUUUAUUUAAUAUAUUUAUAUUGAAAAUAAAUAUGGUGACAUCAUUAUCCCAUUAUAUUUUCAAUUCUUUUUUUUUGUCCAAUUGUGCACUUAAUGAACAUAAACAUAUCAUAAGUAAUCAUGCAAUACUCAUACAAUAUAUCUAACAUACCCAAUGCCGCCACGAGAUCGAAAAGUUUAACCCGUUUGACGGCAAUCUGAUGGGUCGUCUGGACUGAGUGCAACAACACUAUCUUCCGCAAGGUGCUUCCCAAUGCUACCCGGGCUCUUGAACGUGUCGCUUCUUUGACCAAUGCCUGGAACGCAGCCCUUUGAUCCUUGCUUGUCCCUUCUUCCAUGCUCGGUCCCCAUUUCUUCUUUUUCGUUAUCCACCCAAUUUUUCUUGUUUAUUUUGUCUAAUCGAUAGGUGUAGAGUUCUUUAUUUUGGAUUUUCUUUCUUGUAUUUUUUCGGCUCUUUCAGGAGGUCCUAGCUGUCUCCAUCAUGUACGCUUAGUUCAUUUCGCUUAAUGAAUGAAGCAAGUAGUUUGCUACCUAUUUCUAAAAAAAAAAAAAAGAAAAAAAAAAGAAGUUGCUUUUUACCUUUGUCCCCACUAAUUUCUGGUAAUUGGUUUUGGUCUCCCCACUCAUGUAGCCGUUGUGGCUCAUCCGAGUUGUUGGGACCCCCACAAAGUGCUCUCAAUGGAAUUUUGCAUGAGACCCCACUGAAGUAUCUCAAAUUAGGAACAAGGCUCUAACAACUCAUUUAAUAUCUUAUCAAAAAAAAAAAAAAAAGUGGUGAGAAUGAUGAUGAAAAAUUGCAGUGUGGAGACUUGUUCCAGUGUGAACAGUUACAAUUAAAUUCAUUUAUUGCGCCUUUUUAUUAGUAUGCACAGAUAAAUUUUGAUCAAAGCGAGAUUAGACCAUAAAAUUAGAAAAGAGCGCAGUAGGUUACUAGCUAUUCUAAACAAUAAUAAUAAAAUUGUUUUUUUUAUUUGAGAGAUAGAUAGCACGCCACCCGCUUCGUUUAUUUCAUUUAGAAAUAAACUUAGCUGGAAAUGUGAAUCAACUAGGAUUCGAACUUAGUUCUCGGAUACCAACCACUAAGUCCUUUGCCACAUUCUCUAGGGACGGUCGGUAAUAAAAUUGUUGUGAGACAUAAAAAUGUUGUCUAAACUAGAACGAUGGUGCGCUUGCAUUUUGAUAUGAUUUAUCACUUCUCAGUUGUUGCUAUAUGAUAAAUCAAUCAACUUAAUUAUAGUGGAGUGCACGUUUUUGAAAAAGUAUAACUAUUGGAAUCUUGUAUUAACUUAGUUGACUAUUUAUAUCACAAUCACCAAAUAAGUUAAUGAUAUAUAUAUAUAUAUAUAUAGAGAGAGAGAGAGAGAGAGAGAGAGAGAGAGAGUUGAGCUAGAAUACUCUCAAAAGCACUAAGGGGUUGGUGUUUUUGAGUUUUUAAGCCAUUUGAUCGAGAGAUGUAAGGUUGAGAUGAUGGUGAUAGGUGGUGGUGGAUGGUAGUGAGUGGAAUAGUGUUUGAUCCAAAUGUUAUUAGUAAUCAAGGAGUAGAUCUAAGAGCUAGAAACUCAAAAGCACCAAAAAUUUGAUGCUUUUGAGAGUAUUCUAGCUCAAUUCUAUAUAUAUAUAUAUAUAUAUAUAUAUUGAGUCUGGCUACUAUACUUUUGUGAGUAUUGGUUCUCUUAUACUCAUAAAUUUUUGACUCUUAGAUUUAUUUCAUUAAUCAUUUUUAUCUGUUAGAUCAUACUAUUUAAUCAAUUAUCCACUCAACCUAGGGGACCAAUAUCAUUUUAAAUGGGGACCACGAUCAUCCUAACCACACAUCCCAUCAAUCAACAGUUAAAAAUUUAUGAGUAUAAGUGGGUCUAUACUCAUAAGAGUAUAGUAGCCCCAGCAUAUAUAUAUAUAUAUAUAUAUAUAUAUAUAUAUAUAUAUAUUCUUGAUGUCAAGUAGGCCUUUAGUAGUGUCCUAAUUUAUUGGAUGAAAAUGUAAUGGAUAUGGAUCCAAUAGUACUCAACUCAUAUCCAUAUCCAUCUAUUUUUGUCUCAUCUGAUAUGGACUCGGAUUAUGAUUGAAUAUUAAAAUUAAAAUUCACGUCCAGUGAAACAGUUCGGAGUUGGACGUUGGAUUUUUAAAGGAUAUAGAUAUGAAUUGAAUAUUUGUGAAAUAUUUAAAACUAAAGGCAAAAAGAAUUAAUCAAUAUAUAUGUAAGCUUCUUAAUUUGUAUUAAAAAAAGUUAGAAAUAUAUUAAAAAACUUAAGAAUUCUAAAAAACAUUAUAAAUGGAUGUAAAGAAGAUGUAACAUAUUGUGGGAAAUAUAUCAAAACCAGUUUCGAUUUCGGAUAAUUUAAAUCUGAAUCCAAAGAACUAUAGUAAAUCUAAAUCCGAAUCCAAAAAAUAUUCUAAGCUUAAAAUCUAAAUCUAGAUCCAAAUCUGAAUUUAAGUCGAAUAUUCNACAUCAGUCCAAGCGAAGGCUACUUUAAAUUAUUAUUUUCCUUGAUAUUAAUAUAAGUGUGUGUCUCCUAAUACUAGAAACCUUAAGUGCAUGUUCUCCUAAUUAGAAAUUGACCAAUUUAAAAUGGUAGUUAGCAUUAUUAGUAAAUAGAGCUGACGCUAUAAUGAUAAGAAAUAUGGACUAUAUAUAAUUGAUGAAUAAUGAAGAAUUAUUAAAUAAGUGAAACAAUAUAGUCUUAACAUACCAAAGUGGAUUGAGGAAUGAGUGUAAUGAGUGUAUAAGAUUUGUUCUACAAACAUUAAUUAGUUUUUGAUUGAGAAAACCGACCGUUCCUAGAGCAAGUGGCAAAGGACUUGGUGGUCGGUAUCCGAGACCCAAGUUCGAAUUCUAGUUGAUUUACAUUUCUAGCUAAGUUUAUUUCAAAAUGAAAUAAACGAAGCGGGUAGCGUGCUACCUAUCUCUCAAAAAAAAAAAAAAAAAAAAAAAAAAAGUUUUUGAUUGAGAAAGAGAGAUAUUGAUCAAUAAUCUCAAUUUAGUUUAUACAUCUUCUUUAGGUGUUCUGAAUCAGAUUUGAUGAUUUUGAUUUACAUUUCAAGAUUUGAGAUUUGAAUAAUUUUGUACGCAGGGCAACACAUUUGAAAUUUCUUCCUACUACAGUGUACCUUAGUGUAGCCUACAGGCAUAAAAGAUGCACAAAGUUUUUCUAAAAAAACAUGCAUGCCAUGAAAAAGGAAUGGGCGACUUAGAAAUUUAGUCUUUUGAAACUUGAUUUAAAUUUCAAUUUUGUCCUACCAUCUAGUUGCAGUUACAUUGAAUGUUUGACCUUGAUUUAGUUUGGUCAUAAAAGUCAACAACCCUAAACUGGAAAUUGUUAUGUAAAUCAAAUUAGAAAGAUCCCAAACUAAAUAUGUAACCAACAAAAAUGUAUGUACCUGUACGAAGAGGUGUUAACCAACCACAAAUAUGCAGGACAAUAAUAACCGAUUGGAGUUUUGUUCAGGAGCGAUGGAACACGAGGGCCGCACGGGUCAAAUGCGAAGCACGGAGGUGCGAAGCAUGGACGUGCGGGGUGUCACGCUGAGGUGCUGAUGUUGGGGGCAAGCGAGCUUGUGGCUCACGGGGUUAGCUUUUUCGCCUCAAAAUUCCCCGCGCGGCGCUCAAGUGUCGCACAUCCGAGCCAGCCUUCUCGAGUCCCUUACGCGGAUAAGUCUCCCAGACUCCUCGGCGUGCCUCCCUUUAGCGUUCCUAUCGAGUCUUGCCUUCUUGGCCUUCGUGGGCGCCGCGUUACAGGCGAAGGGUCGGACUGUAAGUCUCGGGGAGGAGCAAGCUUGCUAUGUGACUUUUUUUUUUUUUUAGGAUUAAAUGUACACAGGGACAUACAAAUAUAAUUAAUUACAAAUAUAUUCUUAUAAAUUUCAACUUUCAUAUAUUGUCCCAACAAAAUUUUAAUUUUUUCAAAUAUAUAUGUCUGGUUUGUUACCGUUAAAAAACUAUUUAUAUUUUACCAGCAAAUAAGUGAAAUAUCAAUUUUGCCAUCACAAAUAUUGUCGGAUUAUUGGCGCUAACCUUUAAUCCCAAAAGCUCAAGUUAUUAGAAAUACGCAACCAAUUCAUUUAAAGCGUACAGAUACAGCGCCCACGGUUCUCGAUUAUGACUCGGCCCAACCAGCCUCACACCAUUUCGAACAUGACUCGGCCCACUCAGCCUCACGUCAUUUCGAACAUGACUCGGCCCAAUAUGGCCUUCUACCUCAGGGCAGGAUGCUAGUCCAUUUAAGCCAACAAAUAUGUCUCAUCAAAAGACACAACAGUCUAAUAUAAGAGGGAAAAAAACAUUAAAUUAACUCAUAAACUAACCAGAGUUAAAUAUUUAACCUAUAGUUAACUAAAUUUUCUAACGUAUUAUAAAAGCAGGGACAUAUUUGAAAAUAUUAGGAUUUUUGUAGAGACAAUAUAUGAAAGUUAAACUUUGUAUGAAUAUUUUUGUAAUUCACUAUGUUUGCAAUUAACCCCCUUUUUUUAUAAACUCUCCUUUUACGUUUUUUUUGUUUUUAUUUAACUUCCUUUCUACUUCUUUUCUUGUUUUUUUUUCCUCAUUUUAAAGGGUGUAAUUUUCGUUUAAAUAAUAUAAUUUAUAUUUCAAAGAGUCCAACUUACGUCUAUAAUUGUGUAACGUUCUUCUAAAAUAGUGUAACUUUAUUUUAACAGUACAAUUUAAUCUUUUUCUUUCUUCUUCUCUAGUUAUUUUUCCUUAUUCUUUAGUUUUUAAUUUUUAGUUAAUUUUUUUUUUGUUUUAAGCAAAUAAAAAUAUUUGAUCAGAGAUACUCCCAUGCAUCCCCUUCCCUUUUCGCCUUCAACCCGCUGAGGCCGCGCUCGCUAUUGCCCUCUGGAAUGUCACGCUCACCGCCACCCCGCCCUCUACUCCAGCAUCAUCACGGUCUCCUCCGUCUCCACCUCGCUCGUCACCGGUGCUGGAUGGGCAUGGUGGGUCACGUACCCCCUCCCUCGCCAGCGAGCUUCUUGGCGCCGAGAAGCACAUCCUUUUCGUCGUCGUCAGCGGCGGUGGUGAGGACGGUGGGUUUUCAGAAAUGGAUUUGGUGGGUGAAAAAUUUAUUGCGGUGGAGGUGGAGGUGAAGGUACGUUGCGAAUGGCUGCAGAGGUGGUGGAGGAGGUUCGGAGAGAAAAAAAAAUGAUUGUGGCGCAGCAUCGAUGAGGUCGCAGGCGAGGGCGCAUAGGGCAGAUGCAAGGAGUGGCGUCCUAUAAGGCGGCUGCGAGUGCAGCCUUAGUGAGGUCGAAGGUGAGGAAAGUAGGUGGUGCACGAACGUAGGCGAGGACGCGGGGGACAGAGAUGAGGUGGCCGCCUCCGCUUCCGCCCGAAGAGCUCACUCUUCGGAGAGGAAAAAAAAAACAAAGAACGAGAGAAAAAAAAAGAGAGAGAGAGAGAAAGGAAUAAGUAUAUUUUGGUCACUUUUCUGAAAAUUCGAUUCAAAUCUAAAAAUCGAAAAAGAAGGUAUAGUUUUGCAAAAACUCAAAAUUUUAAAUUUUUUACGCAAAUUGGCCAUCUACAAAAUCCAAAAUGAUAGUUAUUUUUGAAAAACCUCAAAAUUAAUAAAAAAUUUGGCCUGUAACACAUAGUAUGUUAUUUUUUAAAAAAAAUAAAAUAAAAAAAGAGAUUGUGGAGGACAAUAACUAACACUUGAGACCCCGCAUUGAAUUUAAGACAGUGGUCCGCUGUCGCGUUCUACAAAGCUAUCCCACCACUGCACACAAUCCCAAGUCCCCAAGGCCCCGAAACUCCUCUAUAUAUAUAUAUAUAUAUAUAUAUAUAUAUAUAUAUAUAUAUAUAUAUANACCUAACGCAUGUGAACUCUCCGUUUUACUCUAAACCUUCACAGUCACCGUCCAUAUAUAUCACACACAAUUUAAUAACAAUGUACAACAUUAUUACCAUGUCGCUGGACAUGGACAGCAAAUUAAGGGGGGGUGGGGACUCAUGACAGGUAAGUGACGCGAGCGUUUCUCGUAAAACUGUAGUCUGUACUCUGUAGAGCAUCCAACUUGGACGGCCGAACUGCUAGUGGGUCGGAACGGAAAAGAAUACACAUGCAGUAGAGAAGCAUGAACCGAACCGAACCGAACCGAACCGAACAGAACUCAGUUUACUUGCUUCCACCUGCCGGCGACUUGGAGGAGCGCCUCGUAGGCGGCGCCGUCCUCGCUGAGGCCCGUCUGGGCGGCCUCCUUGAGCUCCCUCACCUUGGCGCGCACCUUCUUCCCGGCCUCCCCCUCCAUGAGCUCCCUCACCACCUCCGCCACCUCCUCCCUCCCCACCACCGCCGCCGCCGCCGCCCGCUUCGGCCGCAGCGCCGCGCCGACGCCGCCCACGAGCACGAUGGCGUUCUGGCGCUGCUCGGCGUAGAGCGGCCACGCGAUCAUGGGCACGCCGCUCACCACGCUCUCCAGCGUCGAGUUCCAGCCGCAGUGCGUCAGGAACCCGCCCGUCGCCUCGUGGCCCAGCACCCGCAUCUGCGGCGCCCACGACGACACCACCUUGCCCACCCGCUUCGUCCGCUCCGCGAAGCCCUCGGGGAGGUACGCGAACGGGUCCCCCUUGCUCUCGGCGUCGUAGUACGCCGCGCUCACCUCCCCCUUGUCGCUCGGGCUCCGCACCACCCACAGGAACCGCUGCGAGCUCAUCUCGAGCCCCAGGGCCAGCUCCCGCAUCUGCUCCGUCGUGAGCGUGCCCCCGCUCCCGAAGGACACGAAGAGCACGGACCCGGGGGGCUGCUCGUCCAGCCACGCGACGCACCCGGCCGGGUCGGGGCCGGCCGGGUCGGCGCUCUGGACCAGCGGCCCGACCGGGUAGACCGGGGGCCGGGCCGGGUCCUCGGCCCGGAGCGCGGCGGCCGGGCCGGGCUCGAUCGCCUCGAAGGUGUUGACCAGGAUGCCCCGGGCCUCGCGGUAGCGCGCGCCGUGGUGGACCAUCCAGCGGUAGCACUCGUUGGAGCGGUCCUGGAGCGGGUCGAGGAUCUCGGAGCCCGGGAUGGGGACGCAGCCGGGGAGCUCGACGGGGCCCGGGAGGUCCCGGAACUCGCAGGUGGUGGACGCGUCGAGGGAGGGGAGGUGGAGCAGGAGGGAGAGCAGGUGGAGGUUGGAGGGGAAGAAGAGGUAGCCCGGGACGCCGACCUCGCGCGCGGCGUCGAGGGUGUCGGCGCCGAAGAGGUCGGCCACGAAGGCGACGAGGCGGGUCUCGGCCUUGAGCCCGCGGAGGAGCGCGGCGAGGGCGGGGACGGAGCGCGCGGCCUCGUGGGACAUGAGCGUCUCGAUGUGCGCGUCGGCGGGUAGGUCGUCGAGGGGCACGGGGGGGAGCGAGAGCGAGGAGAUGGAGCGGGGGAGGGACGAGAGGAACGCCCGCUGCGUCUUGCUCGCCGUGCUCGCGAAGGUGACGAUGGUGACGGAGAAGCCAUGCGGGGCCGCCACGAGGCGCUUCGCGAGCUCCGCGAGCGGGAUGAGGUGCCCCAUCCCCGGGGUGGGGAGGAGCGCGACGUGGGGCGUCGGAGCUCUCGUCCCGUUCUCCAUGGCAGGAGGAGGAGCUACUGAGCGCGGUUGAAGAAGAAGAAGAAGAAGAANGAAUAGGAGGAAAUUAAUACGGUCGUGCGUAAUAUAUAAUUGGGGGUUGGGGCAGUGUACAUGUGUGGUUUUGGAAUCGGUUUAUAUACACGUGCGAGAGAGGAGGGGGCGUGGGGAGUUAGAGCCGUGUGGUGUUGGGAGUAGCAAACUAGCAAUAGAGAGAGAAGAGAGAGAAAGAGGGUGCUGAUGUAAGAGGGGCGUAAUGCUUAGGUAUUACAAGUGGGACCCCCCCAUAAAGGAUCUUUUUCUCGGGUCUCUAGAUCGAAGAUAAAAAGAAAAUGGCCACAGCUCACCAAAUAAGAAGAAGGGCGAGCUCAAUCGAAGGCCACAUCUCACCAAAUGAUAAGAGAGGGUAGGGGGAUUUUGACUGCUGGAGCGCAUUGUGGCCGUAAUCGACCACCUAUUCAACUUCUAGAUGCAGUCUUCAAUUUGUGCUUGAGCUUUCGCAUCUUUGUACUCCUGCAGUAGAUAUGCAAAAUUGCAUUUUUCUAAUUAAUGAUAUUGUUUUCUAACAAUCUACGCACGACAAUGGUUGGUUGAUCUUUGAUCAGUCAAAACAUCUUCGAUACAUUGUAGUUGCGUUGGAAAGCUGGGAUCAUGAGUUUUGAAUCGCUAAAAUUUCGGCAUUCUGAUGGGCCAAUGUGACUCCAGAGAAACGAAGUUAUUUUCAAUGACAAAAGUACAAAUUGAUCUCGUGUUUGCUCAGUAUUCAAAGCCUUUUGAGUUUGUAGUCUGAGUACCGCUAUUAAUCUGCCUUUCUUGUGCGCUCUUUUUUUUCUCUUUUUUCUUUUUUUUUAAUAUUACUCUUCUUUCCUCUUUGUCACUUCGCCUUUUUUCUGCAGCACACAGCAUUCUCUUCUGUUUUUUUUUAAAAAAAAAUUACUGGAGACCUUAGCUGUCUUUUCUAUGAUAUUAUUAUUAUUUUUUUUUUGUAAUGAAGGAAGCGAAUUGUUUGGUAUAUUUCUCUUUUUCAAAAAAAAAAAAAACAAAGAAUCUCUAGAGUCUAGACAAGAAAAUUCAAUUUGCAACUUUUAAUUCCACCUAUUGUAAGUUGUACUAUAUUUGGUGUUUAUUUUGGAUACUUCUGGUUUUCUUAUCUUUUUCCAUGUCUUUUUUCAUUCAAAGAGCCUCCAAAAGACAAAUUUGAAAUAUAAAAUGACACCAAUCGUAUCUAGCACAAGUGGCAAAGAACUUGACGGUUGGUAUCCGAGAUCCCAAAUUCAAAUCGUAAUUAAUUUAUAAUUUCGACUAAGUUUAUUUUUAAAAGAAAUAAACAAAACAGCUAUGAUGCUGUCUUUCUCUUAAAAAAAAAAAAAAAGAAAAGAUGAGGAAGAUAGCGAGAUUUGCAUUAUCGCUGCUAUUCAAAAUGUACAAUGAUAGUGUUAGUGCCUUAGCAAAAAGCCAAAAAAAAAAAGGAAAAAAAAAAAAGGAGAGGUUGUUCACAUCUCAUUAUAGACCCUCCUUGUGAUGUAAAAUAAAUCAAGUAGGGUCUACCACUAAAGAGCAUAUUUGCCUCUAAAUAUUAUUCCAUUAUUGUGGGUAGAGAAUUAACUUAUUUAUCAAUUGAUUUUAGGAGAAUAUUGUCAACUAUUCUCCAUGUACACAUAUAUAGGAAAAAGGGACAGACAUGUGGAGGUGACAACAAAAUGUACAGAUCAGUUGAUUGGUAUUGAGAUUAUAUUCCUUCUAAAAAUAAUAAGAGGAUGUACUUGUGGGGUUUCUAUGUUUCUUUUGUAUUUCAUUUGACCUUAUUUUUCAAUAGCACAAUGUGAAUCAUGAGGAUACAUGAAAAUGAAUACUUUGUGUUUUUUUUCCCAUAUUGGCUUAAUUUUAAGAUGCUCAGAGAAUUUGUAAUAAGAGAACUUACUAGUGUGGUAUCAUUACAAGUUAUAAUUCAAAUUUCUUCGAAAUUUUGAUUAUAGUUAGAGUUUGUUUCUCUUUAUAAAAUCUAUACAGUAUAUGAUAUCAAGAGUCUGAAUAUUUUUACUUUUGCCAAAUGACAAGCCGAAUAAUUGACAUAUGGCAAUCUGAAUUAAGACAACAAGACAAUAAAUAUUAUUUAUAUUUCAAAAAUAUUGAAUUACUGUAUAGAGAUACAAAUAUGAGUCGCAUCAGUGUACAACACAUAGAUUAAUGACUAAUGUGUGUGUGUUGUUUUUAUCUCUAAAGCAAAAGUCCAUAAGCAUUUUAUUAAAGCAAGAUUACAUCAAAACAUAUAGUUAGGAAAAAAGAUAAAAAUUACAUUUCCUAAUAAACAUAUAAGAUGAGAAAAUGAAGUUAGCCCCAAAACUCUAAGGAAGAAGAUGAAAAUAAUGCUUUAGGGUUGGUAAUUUUUCAAAACAUUUUUGGACUUUUUAAUUAAAUGCUUUAGGUACUAGCAACAGAAUACAAAAGAAGUUUUUCUAGAUCUUGCUAUAUAUACUGUUAUAUUUGGUUUAGAUUUGUAGUUAUCUAAAUUGGAAUUAAAUCCUAAUCUAAUUGGGAUUGGAUAUAAUUUAGAUUUAAUUUGGCAUAUAUGGAUUAUGAGUCGGAAUCUAAUUUCUAAUUGAAUUAGGAUUAGACUCUAUUUAUUUAAGAGACAUGUAUUAUAAAUAUAUGCUACGGCCAAAUUAAUUGGUGCGACCAAAAUUAAAAGCCACGCAUUAAUUAAAUUUAUUCUGGAUGGUCCGUACGGUGAUCUAAUUAAGAAGCCAUGCCUAAUUAAGCUUGCAAUUAAGUUCAAGUUCUCUGGGCUUCUUUCUUGCUGAUGGUCACGUUGCGGCGGCUGCGGCGGCUCUAAUUAAUUCAUGCAUGUUGAUAUUCCGAGGCAUCAAAAGGAGCCGUACAUCAUCUAUGGUGAGCCGAGCUAUCUUAUUUGGAGUCGCUUGUAGGAUGCGGAUUUCGGCGUUUUCGAUCUAAUUGAGUUUUGGUCUUUAAGAGAUUUUCUUGUACUCCGCCUUUUCGACAUUAAUAAAGUAUUUGCUCCGUCUUCGCCCGUGGACGUAGGCCGUUGGCCGAACCACGUAAUUAUCGGUGUGUUCUUUCCUUAUCUUUUCUUUUCUUGCAUUAAAUUAUUUUCUAGAUCUAUUUUUUCGCCGUUCCGAUUAUAACAAACUGGUAUCAGAGACUUUCUAUUCCCUUUGAGGAUUAAGAUGAUGACGAAGUUCGAGAUUCAGAAAUUUGACAGGACCAACAGUUUCGCAUUAUGAUAAGUCAAGAUGCGUGCAGUAUUGACGAGGAUUGCAGAAGGCACUGUUGGGAAAAGAAAAGAUGCCCGAUUCGUUAACGGCAGAGCAGAAGGAGGAGAUUGAUGAUAAAGCUCUUACGGCAAUACAAUUAUGUUUAUCCAAUGAGGUAUUGCGCGAGGUCUUGGAUGAAAAGACCGCUGCAGGGCUUUGGCUUAAAUUGGAGUCUCUCUAUAUGACGAAAUCUCUCACCAACAAGUUAUAUUUGAAGCAACGUCUCUUUAUGUUGCGCAUGGCGGAAGGUACCUCUAUUAAGUCGCAUUUAGAUGAAUUUAAUUCUAUCAUUAUGGAUCUCCGCUUGAUAGAUGUAGCCCUUUUAUUAUUAUGUUCUCUACCGCCCUCUUAUAAGAAUUUUCAUGAGACUUUCUUGUUUGGACGAGAUACUCUAUGUCUCGAUGAUGUUAAAUCCUCUUUACUUUCAAAAGAGAGAAUUGACAUGCAGAUAAGCAACGAGACAGGUGGAGCUUCAGGACAAGGUUUGGUCGCUAGAGGGAGGUCUCGGGAGAAGGGUUCCGGUAAUAGAGGUACAUCUAGAUUAAAGUCAAAGCACAGAAAUCUGAUUUGUGGUUAUUGUAAGAAGAAGGGUCACAUAAAAGCUGAUUGUUUCGAGUUGAAAAAUAAAGAGCAGCGAAAGAAUAACGGUGAUAAGAAUCAAAGUCAGAAAAACACCAAUACUGAAGCAGAAGCAAGUGUUGCAGCAGGAGAAUCAGAUAAAAAUGAUAUCGUCUUUACAGUUACGGAUAAGACACGCAGACAGGAUGAGUGGCUUAUGGACUCCGCAUGUUCUUUUCAUAUCUGUACACAUAGAGAAUGGUUCUCGACGUACAUGCCUAUUGAAGGUGGAGAUGUAUUGAUGGGAAAUCACUCUAAGUGCACAGUUAUUGGAAUUGGCACUGUUCGGGUACGAAUGUUCGAUGGAGUAGUGAGGACUAUAUCUGAGGUUCGGCAUGUUCCGGAUAUGAGAAAAAAUCUGAUCUCAUUGGGUACACUUGAUACUAAAGGCUUUAAGUAUUCUUCAGCUGAUGGAUUAAUGAAGGUCGCUAAAGGGAAUCUUGUAGUGAUGAAGGCCAAGUUGUCCGACAUGUUAUAUGUUCUACAGGGUUCCACUGUGACAGGUUCAGCAGCGGUGACUUCUUCUUCUAUGUCAGAUUCGGAUAGCACCAGAUUAUGGCAUAUGCGACUGGGCCAUAUGAGUGAAUAUGGUAUGAUGAAGUUGGGCGAGAGAGGUUUACUUGGUAGUCAGAGUUUAGAAAAGUUGGACUUCUGCGAGCAUUGUGUUCUUGGCAAACAAAAGAGAGUCAGCUUUAAGGCCGCAGUUCACCGAACAAAAGGUACUCUGGACUACAUCCAUUCUGAUCUUUGGGGACCUUCUCGUACUCCUACUCAUGGUGGUGCUAGAUAUAUGUUGACUUUUAUUGACGACUAUUCUCGUAAAGUGUGGGCGUUCUUUCUGAAAAGUAAGGAUGAGGUGUUCAAUUAUUUCAAGCAGUGGAAGGUCAUGAUUGAGAAGCAAACUGAAAAGAAGAUUAAGAGAUUAAGGACCGACAACGGUUUGGAAUUCUGUUCGUCAGAGUUUGAAGAAUUCUGCAAGAAGGAAGGGAUCGUUCGACAUAAAACCGUUAGGCAUACUCCACAGCAGAACGGGGUGGCCGAACGGAUGAAUAGAACUCUUUUGGAGAGGGCCCGUUGUAUGCUCUCUAAUGCUGGCUUAGCGAAGAGUUUCUGGGCAGAGGCGAUCUCUACGGCAUGCUAUCUGGUGAAUCGAUCUCCACAUUCAGCACUUGAUUGCAAAACUCCGGAGGAGGUAUGGUCUGGUAGCCCUUCUGAUUAUUCUAAUUUGCGAAUAUUUGGUUGUCCUGCUUAUGUUCAUGUUAAUGAAGGCAAGUUAGAACCUAGGGCUAAAAAGUGCAUUUUUAUUGGUUAUGCAUCGGGGGUUAAGGGAUAUAGAUUGUGGUGUCCUGAAUCGUCUAAAUUAAUUAUUAGUAGGGAUGUCACAUUUGAUGAAUCUGCUAUGUUAUAUCCUAACCGUAAUUCUUCUGAUGAGACCCCGAGUGCUAGCAAGCAGGUGGAGGUAGAGACCGAUGGUAUAGUUCAGUCACAGGAUUCUUCUCAGUCAGAACAAGUUCAGUCGACAGACACCUCAGUAACUGAAACCCCACAAGUUGAGAGGCAGAGCAUUGCUACAGGCAGAGCGAGGAGACAGAUCAAACCACCGCAGAGAUAUGGUUAUGAAGAUAUGGUUGCGUACGCUCUUUCAGUGGCACAAGAUACAGAAGAAGAAGGUGAACCUUCGACAUAUAAUCAAGCUAUUUCCGGUGCCAGUUCUGCAGAGUGGUUGGUGGCGAUGAAUGAGGAGAUGGAGUCUCUCCAUAAGAAUCGCACAUGGGAGUUGGUAAAACCGCCUACAGGCAAGAAAAUUGUCGGCUGUAAGUGGGUCUUCAAGAAAAAGGACGGAAUCCCCGGCGUGGAAGAUACAAGGUAUAAAGCUCGUUUAGUUGCUAAGGGCUACAGUCAGGUAGAAGGUGUGGACUUUAAUGAUAUUUUCUCACCCGUCGUAAAGCAUACUUCUAUUCGUGUUCUUUUAUCGUUAGUAGCCAUGAAUGACCUGUAUCUUGAGCAGCUUGAUGUUAAGACAGCUUUUCUGCAUGGAGAACUUGAGGAGCAAAUUUAUAUGAAACAGCCGGAGGGAUUCAUUGUUGAAGGGAAGGAGGACCAUGUUUGCCUGUUAAAGAAAUCGCUUUAUGGCUUAAAGCAGUCUCCUCGACAAUGGUAUAAGCGGUUCGACUCCUUUAUGACAGGUCACGGAUAUUCCAGAAGCAAACGUGACAGUUGCGUAUAUUUCAGAAAGCUUGAUAAGGGAUCUUUCAUAUAUUUGUUGCUCUAUGUCGAUGAUAUGUUAAUUGCUUCCAGCGACAUAGUUGAGAUAAAUAAAUUGAAGGCUUUACUUAAGGGUGAGUUUGAGAUGAAAGAUCUAGGUGCUGCUAAGAAAAUCCUUGGUAUGGAAAUUAAGAGGGACAACAAGUCAGGACUACUGCAUUUGACACAAGAGAAAUAUAUAGAGAAGAUUUUAAAGCGUUUCGGGAUGACAGACGCAAAACCAGUGAGCACUCCUUUUGCGGCGCAUUUCAGACUUUCCGCCGAGUUAUCACCGCAGUCCGAUGAUGAGCGGGAGUACAUGUCACAUGUUCCCUAUUCUAGUGCUGUCGGGAGCAUCAUGUACGCCAUGGUUUGCACACGGCCGGACAUCUCCUACGCAGUGAGCAUGGUUAGCAGAUAUAUGACCAAUCCUGGUAAGGCUCAUUGGCAGGCUGUUAAGUGGAUUCUGAGAUACUUACGAGGUACCACUAGCACUUGUUUGGAGUUUGGGAGGUGUAAGGAUGGUGUGGUUGGAUAUGUUGAUUCGGAUUUUGCAGGUGAUUUGGAUAGGAGGAGAUCACUUUCAGGUUAUGUAUUCUCUAUUGGCGGAUGUGCAGUUAGUUGGAAAGCUUCACUACAACCUAUUGUCGCCUUGUCUACGACGGAGGCGGAAUAUAUUGCUAUGACAGAGGGUGUGAAGGAAGCUAUGUGGCUAAGAGGCUUAUUUGGAGAGCUUACUUCUUAUUGGGAUCCGACGAUUGUUUAUUCGGACAGUCAAAGUGCUAUUCAUUUGUCUAAAGAUCAAAUGUUUCAUGAGAGGACAAAGCACAUCGAUGUAAAGUUUCACUUUGUUCGGGAUGUGAUUGGGAAACGCACGUUGACAGUUAAGAAAAUUGGUACUGAGGACAAUCCGGCAGAUAUGCUUACUAAGUCCCUUACUAUUGCCAAGUUCAAGCAUUGUUUGGACUUGGUGGCAGUUAGCAGCAUUUGAGGCCCUAUGGGGCGUUUGGAGAAGACGGAGGACGGAGCGUUAAGGAGCAUUGAGGCGAAUUAAAUUCAAGGUGGAAUUUUGUGGCGAUCUCGACAUAGCGGCGGCUAAACUACAAAUUAAACCAAGGUGGAGAUUGUUAUAUUUGGUUUAGAUUUGUAGUUAUCUAAAUUGGAAUUAAAUCCUAAUCUAAUUGGGAUUGGAUAUAAUUUAGAUUUAAUUUGGCAUAUGUGGAUUAUGAGUCGGAAUCUAAUUUUUAAUUGAAUUAGGAUUAGACUCUAUUUAGGAGACAUGUAUUAUAAAUAUAUGCUACGGCCAAAUUAAUCGGUGCGACGAAAAUUAAAAGCCACGCAUUAAUUAAGUUUAUGCUGGAUGGACCGUACGGUGAUCUAAGAAGCCAUGCCUAAUUAAGCUUGCAAUUAAGUUCAAGUUCUCUGGGCUUCUUUCUUGCUGAUGGUCACGUUGCGGCGACUGCGGCGGCUCUAAUUAAUUCAUGCAUGUUGAUAUUCCGAGGCAUCAAAAGGAGCCGUACAUCAUCUAUGGUGAGCCGAGCUAUCUUAUUUGGAGUCGGUUGUAGGAUGCGGAUUUCGGCGUUUUCGAUCUAAUUGAGUUUUGGUCUUUAAGAGAUUUUCUUGUACUCCGCCUUUUCGACAUUAAUAAAGUAUUUGCUCCGUCUUCGUCCGUGGACGUAGGCCGUUGGCCGAACCACGUAAUUAUCGGUGUGUUCUUUUCUUAUCUUUUCUUUUCUUGCAUUAAAUUAUUUUCUGGAUCUAUUUUUUCGCCGUUCCGAUUAUAACAUAUACAUAUAUCAACAUUUUUAUUAAACAAAACCUACUGUUAUUUUUAUUCCAAAACCUAGCUUUUGUUUUCUCCUUUAUUCAAAAACAGUUGGCAUUUUUUUUUUUUUUGUUGACUUUGAUCCUAAUUCCGAACCUUCACUCAAACCCCAUAAUAUCUUCUGUUCUUUUUUAAAAUUUCUCGUUCUUCUUCUUUUCUCUUUUUUUUCCUUGCCUAUUUUCCACCACUAUGAUAAGAAAAUAUUUUUUUUAUUAUUAUAAAUAAUAACACUUUGUGUAGAUUAUAUUAAGAUCAGUUAAUAUAUAGGAAAGGUAUUUUCUACAUCGCUUUUGCCAUGUCCUUUUCGGGCUAAUUGUAUUAGCCACUCGCUAAUGCUAAACGACUCCUAACAAUUUGUUAUCACUUUCAUCUUAUAUUUAUGAGCAUUACUAAUAUUUCGCCCUUAAUUUUUUUUUUUUUGUUAGGUCUUCUUUUUCUAUUGUGUUGUUAUUAUGGAUAGACACCAUCGCUGCCAUUACGAUCUUUGAACUAGAUUUUCGUGAACCACUUUGGACUCAAUUUGACGCGACGAGACUCGAUCAAGCUUCUCUGAUCCAAAACCCGACCGCAUCGAAUCGAAUCGAACCUUAUAUAGCCGAACCCUUAUUUCACAGACUUUUUUAUAGGUUAAAUAAUUCGUGUGUUCUGUGACUGUAAAUCAGAGCUUGUUAGCAUUUUCUAACUGCAUAUGUCUAUUCAAAGUUGUUUAUUUCAUAUCACGACUAAAUUUUUUCUAUUAGAUUAAGUUAUUUUCAGUUUGAUAUCUCACCCUCUAGGUAGUGGUGUUGGAACAUAAUAUUAUACUAUAUAAAAAAGUAAAAAUAUAUAAAACUUAUCUAAAUUUUGAUCCAGUUUUAUUUUAUUAUCCAAAAUUUUAAAAACUUUGAUUUUUUGUAUACAAUAUUUAAUUUUGUUUUGAUUUAAGCUAAUAUAAAAAUUAAUUUCAGUAUAAAGUUUUGAUUUAUUACUUAUUUUAGUAGAGCUAUAGUUGUGUAAAUUACGUAAAAUAUAUUAAUCAAAUCUAUGAAAAUAAAUAACACAUUCAAAUUUAAAAGUAUAAGAGCCACUAAAUGACUCAAAAUGUAUAAAUUAAAAUAGAUUAUAUAGCAAAUUAGAAAUUUUUUUAAAAGAUUUGAUAGUUGAGCAAUUCAGCCUAUACUCAUGUGCCUUCUGCAUGCCCACUUUUUAUUAAAUUUUUUGUUUGUUUUUUUUUACUAAAUCUACAAAAGAUUUCGUGAACUCUAAGUACGCACAUUAUAUAUAUAUAUAAUAUAUAUAUAUAUAUAUAUAUAUAUAUAUAUAGUAUAUAGCAAUUUGUAGAUUAUUUGUCAAAAAAGAUCAUCAUAGUUAAAAUACAGAAAUAAUAUCUAUAUUUUAAUAUAUUUAAAUAUAUUUAAUAUAAUUCUGGUUCAUCAAAAUAUUUUAUCGAUUUUUAAAAUAUUUUUAUAAAUAUUUUAUCUUAAAUUUAAUAAUAAAAUUUAUAAUAAUAUUUUAAAAAUAGAGAAAUAAAUUUAAAAUAUUGAACAGUAAUGAGGAAUAUAUAAUAAAGAUACUGAAAUAUAUUCAAUAUUUUAAAAUAAGACUAAAUUACAGAAAACUUAUGUAUAUAUAUUAUAUAUAUAUAUAUAUAUAUAAUAUAUAUAUAUAUAUAAUAUAUAUAUAUUACUUUUCCUCCCUCACUUUCUAAAUCUAUAUUUUAUCUCCCUGUCAGAAUUUCAUCACUAUUCCGUCUAUUUCUUAUAAUUUAUAUAAAAAAUAUAUUUCAAAAUAAUAGAAAUAUAUUAAAAAUUAUUUUUUUAUAGAAACAAUAAGGAUAAUAUAAUUUUGUUAUUUUGUCAUUUCCAUUAGGGGAUGUUUGUUUGAAUGAAAGUGAGGUGGAAGUGGAAAGGGGGAAGUCGUUUUCGCCAUAAUGAUUACUUUCAUUAUUUGGUUCGCCGUAAAAAAGUUACAGUCGAAACUCGAGUUAAUCUGAAACGACGUAAUUGACUUCGGCCCAUCGUCUGCCAAAAUCAAUUACGAUGAAGGAAAGUGAAGAAAAAGUAAUAAAAUAAUAUACUAGGUAAAAAUAAUUAUUUUUAAAUAUAUUUAAUUAUUGUACUAAUUACUCUUUUAGUUAAUGGUAUAUUUAAAAUAUAAUAAAAAUUAAUUAGUUAAAUCUUAAUAUUUUUUUAUUUAGUUUGUACAAUUAAUUGAUUAAUUAAGUAUUAAUAUUUUUUACUUUAUAAUUUUAUUAUGGUAUUAUUAUAAUUUAUAUAUAAAAAAAUAAUUUAGUUGUUUUAAAUUAAAUUUUAAUUAUAUAAAAUAUAAUUAUAUUAUUUUUAUUUAUUAAAUUAUUUAUUAUUUAUACAUAAAUUAUAAUUUUACAUCAUAUAUUUUUUUAUCAAACAAACAACAAAACUAAUAAAACUUCACUUUUUAUAACUACGAAAUAAAUAACAAAAGAAAAUUAGUUUUCACCCAAUUCUAUUUCAAUCCAAAGUUUAUUGCUAUCCAAAAUUUAGUUUUAGUAAAACAAACGUGCUCUUGACACCGUACUUUUAAAAAUAUUUUAAAAUUUUUAAAGAAUAAAAUAUAAAAUUUAAAAANAAAAAAAGAGCCACUGGAACCAUCGACUGGCUUCAUGCCGCUUCCACCCGCGCGCUAACUAAACCGUCGCAUAUAAAACCAAAGGAGGAGAGAGAGAGAGAGAGAGAGAGAGAGAGAAGGGUUCGUAAAACGCUCACAAAAGUGGUGUGGCGUUGGCCAUGGCGGAGCCGGAGCCGGAGCCCCAGCGCGCUCUUCCGAAGACACCGGCGGCGGGGGCGUGGCGGAGCGGCGUGCACUUCCCGAACCCGCCGGAGACGGCGACGUGGAGCGCCGGCCCGCGCUACCCGAACCCGCCGGACCCGGCGAACCCGGACCCGGCGACGCUCCGCGAGCAGUGGCUCUUCGCGACGCGGCGCUACAGCCGGUGGUACUCCCGCGCCUGGGGCGCCGCCGCCCUCGCCGCCCUCUCCUUCUUCGCCCUCGGCCGGGCCCUCAAAGGCUCCAACCCCAUCCCCUCCCACAACCCCCACCCCGCCUCCACCUCCGCCUCCUCCUCCGCUGCCGAUGAUAACCACCACAGGUGCUUAUGCUUUGUAUUCUUUUGUAUUCUAGUAAAAAUAUACGUAAUUUAUCUGGACUAUAAGCUAUGUUGAAUUGGCCAUCUAAUUUUUCACAACACUUUUCAAUUUGUUUGAUUUGAGUCCAUAUUUUGAUUUUUCGGCUAAUAACUUAUUUCAAUAAAUUUAUAGUUGCCGGUGUUACAUAAAAUUAAUUAACUUUACUUAGCCCGUAAAGAUAAACAAACGUAAUUAAAUUAUAAAGUAAGAGUACGGUUGACUGAUUCAAAUGAAAUAAAUUAAAUGGUAAGCUGGUUCGCUAAAAUUUUGAAAGGUUGGAUGAUCAAACUCAAAAUUAUCUAUAGUUUAGAUAAGUUUUAUAUGGUUUAUCCUUUUAAUUAUUUUGGGGUGUAAUGAUUCAGUCCGAUGCAUGUACGAGGAAUUCUACACCGUCACACUUGCACCACGUCAUCAAUAACAAGCCAAUCACAUUCCUCCUUUUCAAACAAAAGUACAAUAAAAAUACUUUUUUACAAUCAUGAUGGGACAUAUAUUCUUAAAAAGAUUAAUUUGAUUGGUUUGUUACGCCACAUCACUAAUAUAUCCGUUGUAUUCUAGAAUUUUUCUGCAUUUACAGCCAUCUUCCCUGUCUAGUUGUCCUGUCAGUACUAGAAUGCUUAGUUCUUCUGUACCUUGGCUUUCUCGUCAGAUCCAAUUGUACGCAUAGUUGAGGAUCAUCAGCUCUAUGACGUGUAAUUUUAUCAUGUAUAGCACUUAGCUCUUGUUUGACUGUCCCAAUAAGCUAUCCAAGUUUAACUUACUCAGUAUGAGGAUUUUCUACGGUCGUUGUAAAGAAUUUGAUUUUUGUUUCUCGAGAGGUACUGAUAUCCAUAAUCGGAUAGGAUUGCAUAUUUUAUUUACAAGGUAAUUUAAAAUGACUUGAAGGCAGCAUAUGGUAUCCAUUCUAGAUAUUCUAUUGCACUCCUCAUCUACCAAAAUUUUUUUUGAGUAAAUCAACGAGAUAUACCGAACAAAAUACUCAUGCACCCGAAACAGAGUCUCGGACUCUGAUUGGAUGCAUGAACAUUUUAUAUGGUGCAUCUUUUUCAUUUACUCAAAAGGUAUAUAUAUUAUUUGGUAAUCAGAAGUGCGAUCAAAUGUUUAGAAUGGUAUAUUAUAUUGGCUACAAGUCACUUUUUCGAAUCGGAUAAAUUACCUAUAGAUGAAAUAUGUUAUUGUACCAAAUUAUAAAUGUCAAAAUCUUUCAAGGAGCGGAAGUUAAAACUGUUAAUUUUCAACCACAUAAGAAAUUUUUCAUACUGAAUAAGUUAUCAUCAGAUAACUUAUUCCGACAUUCGAACAGGGCUUUAAUUCCCACAUUUUUAUUGUCUUGAUCCCUCUUGUACGCCAUACUAGUAUCUACAGUUCUUGUAUAUCCAAACACAAUCUCUUUUCUAUAGAUUGUUGUGUAACCUUACAUGGUUAAAGUCGUUUUAAAUGGAUACCUGAAUUUUAAAUGUGUACUUCAGUGUUCUAAGUUUCUGAAAACAGAAAAAAAAUUGUGAUUUUAGUUUUUGCCAUAAAGGAUGAAUAUUAGGCGCUACGAAAGAUUUAAGCUGAGUAAGGUGCUACAAUCAUGGACUAAACAUUUUUGGGUAGAUAAUUACUGUUAAUGUUUCUAGUGCUUUUUAUACUGUUACCAUCCUAGUUUCCUGUUUGUUAGGAAAGUAGGUUUGCGCUCAAUAUGUUCUUGAGCCUAAAACAGUGUCAUCAUUUUAUUCAACAUUCAUCUCUUUUCACCAUUUGGUGGAAUUUUCAUGUCACCUAAAUGUUGAAUUGGUACAUUGCAAGUCCUCUUAUGUACUUAUGUCGUAGUUUCAAUUUUUUCUAGUGUUGUAAUUUGAUGAGCUCAUGUGAGAUAAGGUUUCCUGCAAGAUCAUAAGUUGUUCAACAAUUUGAUAUGUCCUGUAUAAGCUUGUGCGCCUCCUCAAUUUUCCCCUAUUCAACUUCUGGCAGCUAAUGCAAUCGCUUGUAUCAACUCCUGCGGAGUUUCACCUUCGGCUCUUGAGACAGUCUGUCUUCUUGCACCUUAGGACCAGAACGGGGUUAAAUGUGAGUCGCUUUAAUGUCGCCAGUCUUCCUUUCGUAGCUUGCAUAUAUAUGUUGUAAUGCGACAACUGUCGGAUUCCUUGAAUCAAUAGUUGGGCAUUAGGAAUGCGAUCGCAGAUGUCCAGAACCACGGAAAGCAUUGCUUGUCUGCUUGCUUGACUGCCAACCUAAGUGCCUUACAUUUGAAGUAAUUUAAGGUGGUCUCAAGCCAAAUUCGGAUAAUAUGUAUGAUAUAGGCUGAUGUGGCAUUAUUAUAGGAAAAUCAGUUUUCUUGAGUGACAUUGCUUGUUGUUCUUGGGCUUUUUUUUUUCUUGGGCACUUUUUUUUCCUGCUUUGAAUUGUAACUGAUCCAGAUGUAUUUGGUAGCAUGCUUUUAUUAGGGUUUUGCCUGUAAAAGGAUCUCCUCUUUAUUGAAACUGUAUAAUGUCUUUUUUUUUCCUUUGUUAUAUAUUGAGUUCUUGAUUAGUAUUAUGUAUUAUCAUCUAAUUCAAAUAUGUUUUUCCCUCAAUUUAACUGUUGGAGUUGAAUAUCUAAUCCCUCUUUGUUUUGUUCAUCUUUUGAUCGUGAAACUCUCGACGGUAUAUUUCAUCAACUUCCAUUCAGGAGGAACCAGAAAUUGUUUCUAAAUGCUUGGUCAUGUCAGCAAUCCGUCACCUUGCUGUCAGAGAACAUACUCAUGAUAGAAUAGAUAUCGAGAAUGUUUACUUAACCGGCUACCUCGUGGUGUUCUGACGCUGUUAAUUGUAUCUAUUUUAUCAGGUAACUAUGUUUUGUCAAAAGCUUUGUAAAAAGGGUGUUAACAGCGCGAUCGCGUGUAGAAAAGCCAUGGUAGAGCAAAGUGCAGCGGCAGCAGCAGAAAGUUAGAUUAGAAGGAUGCAAUAUCCAAACAAGGAGAAUGCUCCUUUUUAAGUUGUUUUUUGAGGUUCUUGUGUAUGUACAUUAGCGAGCUUGAAACAGUGAUUUUGUGUAUAAAUGUUUGUAUGUUUAAUAUGAGCCGAGUGAUUUUGUAUAUAAAUGUUUGUAUGUUUAAUAUGAGCCGAAGUUCUCACGCACUUUGGUUUGACAUGGAUUAGAAAUUUGAUAAAUUGUAGGUGAUGUUGUUUGAGUAUUUGAUAUGAACUGUGGAGAAAAGGAAGGUGCAGUUUUAUGAGACUAAGAACCAAAUUGCCUGAGACGAAACAUUCUUUUCGUGGUUUGCAUUGUUGCUUUCGCUCUUCUUGAUUUAAUGAUGGAUUUUUUUUGCCUGUGAAACCAAAAGAACAAGGAAAGAAGACCAAAACUAAGGGCAGAAUAAAUCCCACAUCAAGUUUGUUUUAGUAACAGCUGAAGCCAACAAAGAAUAGAUCAACCGCGAACUCUUCACUUUUACAAGUAAUCACAACUCAUCAUACAAACACAAACUAAUCCCCCGCGAAUUGUUAGCUCAGAAAAACCCCCCUCCUCCUUACUCUCCAAACAAUUCAAUAUCUACAUAUAUUUUCGCACUUUCACUCAUUCAUCACCAUUUCCAUCAUUAAAUCGUUCCAAGCAUCUAUCGGCCCCGGCACGCACCAGUGCAAGCAAUCGGUUUGUACUUUCACAUUCCUACCCUUAUCAAAGGGACGAAAUUGUCUGUAAGGGCCCGCGUGCCCGUCCGGCCGUAGCAACGAAAGAUGGUAAGUAUCCAUCAGCUUUAGCGGAGCAGCAUGCCCUGCACCUUCCACCCUCUUGAACUCUUCCAGCUCGACCCUCCGCAUUAAAUGGUCUAUAUUUUUACCUUUGAACUCACCUUCCUUAUACGGCACCGUCCUAUCACACUUCCCGCCGUUAAACCACUCGCCGUCUUCGAAGUGGUCCACGUCCUGUAUAUAACACGCGGCUUGCGAGAUGAAGAGGUGAUGAAGUUGAAGGCCAUCCGGAGGGCAUUUCGGUAAAUGUACUCCACCCCGAGCUCAGGUAAGUUCUUUCCCGGGCAGUAGUGGCAGCCGAUGACUGUUCCGUUCUGCCAAACGAUCACGGUCUUCAAGAACCAUUGCCCGCCCGAUAUGACUACGUAGUCAAAGCUUUCGUAUUGGUUGAUCCAUUUCGGGUCCAGUUCGUCGAGAUGGAGCUGGAUUUCGGAUUUUGACUCACCGUCUUCGUUCUCGAAAGUUUCAGACUUGAUUAGAAAAGGAGCCCAGAGAAGAGAGACGGUGAAGUUGUGGGAGGGGAAGCGCCAUUCUCGCGAUUUGAAAUUUUCGUCGUGGUUGACCUCAACAGCUUCUUCUGCCUGAACCAUACAGAAGAACAAGUCCGAUAAGAAUGAGAUCUAAACAAUAGAGGCAGAUCAUAAUAAAAAGCAAUAGCAACUGGGUACAAGACAAGGAUUGAGUUCUCGUGAGUUCGCCUUUCAACUUUAUGGUUUACUAUGGACCUCAAAGGACUAGACCCUGUACCCAUCCUUAGUCGGCACCUUAAUCGUAUCUUUGUAUAAGUUUCAAUGCAAAACUGUUCCAGGUACAGGCUCAGGCCUCAAUAACUUAAGCCUUUUAGUUUCAGAUGCACGGUAAGGAUUGAGUCUUCACGGAUUUGUUUAUUGAUGCGCCCUUCGCCUGAACCAAACACUAGCCUUUUGUAGUUUAAAAGUCCCUUCGACAACAAACGAAGUCGAACCUUUUUUUUCUUUCUUUUUCCUCCCAUAGGUCAAAAACAGAAGAAACAAGCCAUUUCAGAUCCUCAAAUGUUUACUAAUAUGUUUAGUCAUCACAAAAGUCGAAAACAAUCAUCAUUUUUAAGCCAAACCUUCUCCGGCAAAAUGCAUUAGUUUGCAAACUUGCACAAUUAUUGUAAUCAUGAAGUCAACCAUACAAAAGUUAAUUUUUACAAUACCAAGCAAGAAAAUCAAACAAAAACAACAUCAAGCAAGAAAAGCAGUCUUGCGAAUCUUAUAUCAUAUACGACAAAAAUACCUUGGAUAGAAGGCAAAUCAAUGAUUGGGCAUGAUUGCGAAGAAUCGAGUCACCAAUGAGCGCCCAACUUUUAUUCCGCAUGGCAUCUAGAAACUUCUUGGCAUCCAAUGGUGGUAUGUCACAACCGUAUGGUUUCCAUUUCCAGUAAAGAUACCCUGUGUCAGGCUUUCCAUUCAACAUACAGUUCUGAUGAUCUUCAAUAAAACGGCAGCUCGCAUUUGUAUAAGCUGGUCCUGAAGGAUUUGGUAUCCAUUCUCCAGCGAAAAGAUCACAUUGUUCUGACUCAAAAAAUAAAAAUUAAAAGAAACCAUAUAUGAUCAGUAUAGAACAAAAAGGAAAUUAUGUAACUUGUCACAGAAGUUGCUCAUACCUUUUCGUAAAAAGCCAACACAAUAUAAGCAGCAGUUAUAGACAAAAACAGGAAAAAAACAAUAAAGUACAAAUGGCAAAAGAAUACAUGGUAGUUAGCAAAUGCUCUUCAUGCCAACUUUAACAACACAUACAAAAAGAGAAAAGAAAGCUUUGUUUAUCUUUCUAACGGUUCUUUUUAUUUUUAACUUUUCGGAACAACAAAAUCUCAUGGAUACGGCAAUACAAACAGAAACUAAAAGGAAUGUUUUGCGGAUUCUUUAGUCUACCCAAUGUUAACUUUGGAUGGGGGCAUGACACUUGGAUACCUUCCGCAGGAAGUUCAGGGAAACGAAGGAUAGGACGCUUGGAUACGUAUGAGAAAGCACAAUUAGCAUGAGCAUAGUUUCACCAACAACCAAGAACCUAACCAUUAAGAUAUACUACACAUAACUGUGAAAUUAUCAACGAAUAAAUGCAACAAUUCAUUCACCAACAACCAAGAACUAGUUUUACCAUGAAAUAUAACAGCAAUUACUGUUAAUAAAAAUUUUGUUGCUUUACAUUCAACGGACAAAAUUUUAAGAUAUAAGAAACAAAGGAAAGAAAAAAAAGAGUAGCACGCCGUUGAGCUAACUUCCGUUACUGCACAGUUAGGUGAUUUACAUCAAAAUUAGCGGCAGGAUACAGCAAAUACGAUAAAACAUGCCAACUUAUUGAUUUAACAGAAAAUAUACGAAAAAUUCUCUAAUCAAAUCAUUUUAUCUAGCUGGAUUUUCUUUUCUCGUUGAAAUAAUUAUACUAAAACAACCCAAAUUGCAUAGUUGAUAUAAGUUUCUAUAAAAGAUAUAUUCACGAAUUCGUACUAUUUCUCAUCAUCGUGUUUAAAAUAUUUGAAAUGCACACUACCUUCUUGAAAAACUUCUUCAUCAUCUGACGCCAUUUGAGGAUUUGCUGCCUCCGCAAUAACUGUAGUUUCUGACGAGCAAAAGUAUUCAGAGAAAUCAGAGAAGAUAAACUGUACACGAAUUCAAAUUGAUCUUCAUUUUUUUUCUCUUUUUUUGUUAUUAGAAUAUCGUACACAUAGUCCCCAGGAUAACGGUAGCGACCAAUUAUAUUGGCAUGUCCACAACCACUGAUUACAAUCAUUAAUUGCCAUUUUCGGUGCUGCACAAUUCACUAUAAAAUUACAUUGAAGAUUAAUCCCAGGAAACUAUAAAUUCCCAAGUACUCAAUGCAGAUUUUCUAGCAUUAAGCCAAAUAAUGGUGAAGGGAAUGGAAAGAGUAAAUCAGUGAAAAUAACAUCAAAACACUCUUCGCCUAAUCCAAGCAAUGUUACAAGUGAACCUGAAAACUACUACACAACCAGUAAGGAUAUUAUUGAUUUAACCAUUCUUUGUAAAGUUUCUUACCAAAAACAUCCAAAGUUCACUUUAUUUCUGGUGAGAGGGACCAGAUGUCAACUAGAACUUAUAUCAUCCAAAUCAAAGAGGAAAAACCCAUAAAUUCAUAACUUCAUCAAAUUGUCCCUUUCUUGUUAACUAGAACCAAACAUAUGUUUCUAUAAUUAGAAGCAUACCAAAGCAGUAGUCAAAAUUCUUUUUUUUUUUAUUUUUAGAUCCUUCAAUGGAACACAAACCCAAUUUCCAACAUUUUCACAAUUUUCAACAAUUAAAUCAAAAUUUAUUCGAUUUACACUCACCAGAUCUUUUCCAGGACAAAAACCCAAAAACCAAAUACUCCCAAAAAAUUGAAAUUUUCAAGUAUUCCAACAAUAAAAUACUCUCUCCAAGUAUGAAUUUCAACAAAGAUCCAAUUUUUACUCCUCCUAAAACCCACUCUCAUUUUGUCCACAUCUUACCAAAAACCCAACUCAAAAACAAGAUCCAAGGGCUAAAAUUUCUCACCUUUCCGAGUUUCCUCAACCCCAACUCCAACUUCAGAAGCCACAGCUCCCUCAGCAGUGGUUGGUGGGUUAGAGAAGGAAAAGAAGGGGGCGGAGCAGGAGAAGAGGAGGCGAUAGGAGAUCACCACAAGAAGGGUGGAAACGAAGAGCUUGAUGUAGAUGUGGUUGCUCCUGUUACGGUAAAGAGAUGGCCAUGGCUCCCUAUGUGAACCCAUCUCCUCCUACAAGGGAGAAAAAAAAAAUGGAAAACAAGAAGUAAAAGAGGAAGGAGUGGGAGAGGAAAACAAGGAAGGAGAAGAAGAGAGGGAGGUUUUUAGAGUUUUUUCUUUGUUUAGUAGCAAAGUGAAAAAAAGUGGGAGGAGAAGAAGUAGUGCACAGAAGAAACAGAAGAGUCCCUACUCCUAGAAGAGAAAUGCUAGUGAAGGCUCCUCAUUCGCAAGUCAGUUCUUUUUUGACUUGAAAUAAGAUCGAGAUUGACCAUUGUUGUAAUAUACAGGUCGAACACGAGCUAAAUUUUUAAACUCAGUAAUUUUUUUUUUUUUAUUUUUGAGAGAUAAGUAGCAUGCUAUCCGUUUUAUUUAUUUUAUUUAGAAAUAAAUUUAGCUAAAAAUAUAAAUUAGCUAGAAUUCGAAUUUGGAAUCUCGGAUAUCAACUAUCAAAUCUUUUACCACUUGUGCUCGGAACGGUCGGCUAAACUCGUAAUCUUAACAAGUCGAAUAUAUUAGAUUAGUUCGUUUGUAUUCGGCUCCCUAUGUGAACCCAUCUCCUCCUACGAGGGAGAAAAAAAAAAUGAAAAAAAAAAAAAAAGUAAAAGAGAAAUGAGUGGGAGAGAAAAAGGAGGAGCUCAAAGAAGAAGAGGAAAAAGAGAGGGAGGUUUGGAGUUUUUUCCUUUUUUUUUAAGUAGCAAAGUGAAAAGAGAAAAGAAAAAAGAAGAAGAGAAGAUGAGCACAGAAGAAACAUAAGAGUUCCUAAAAAAAAAAAAAAGCAAUUUAAGGCUUAUAAUUUGCGAGUCAGUUCCUUUUGGACUUGAAUGAAAUCGAGAUCUAUCAUUUAUUUAAUAAACAAGUUGUGUAAAAGUUAAAUUUUUUAGAUCGAAACCUUAACAUGUUAAAUAUAUUGAAUUAGUUCGUUCGUAUUAUGCACGAUACAGCUCGAAUAUAUAUAUACUAUUUAGAUUUUAGAUCAAACCAAAUAUAAAAAGAUUUAUAUUCUAUAAAUUUUAAUUAUUAAAUUAAAAUUUUAAUUUUUUAAAAUUUUUUUAACUUUUCUCCCAAUAGUAGGACAACCAAAUGACCAAUCUAACAUUAUGUUUACAAAUAAACUUAUUUCAACUCGUUAAUAAACAAGUUGAAUAUGAACUAAAUUUUUUAGCUCGAUAUUCAACGACUUAGCUCGUGUUCAGCUUAUUUAUAAAUAAAUAAACACGAGCUUGUCCUAACUAGUUCGUGUUUGGCUCAUUACCAGCCCUACCUAUUUGUAUACCUCAUAUUGGAAUGUAGAUUUUAUAUUUCUUUAGUUUUAAAAUUAGAAAAAAAAAAUUACAAUUUUGUACU